UAAGAGUUUACUUCUAUAAAUUAAAGCCUCUGCGUAGGAAUCAAAUGAAGACAAAAGACUUUAAUUUAUAGAAGUAUGUAAAUGAAUGAGAUGAUUUCACAUUAACAUCUCUCAGACAGUUUAACUGCAGGUCCAUAACAGCGAAACAUCAACAGUUACUUAGGGCUCUGAAACUAUCUGUAUAGCUUCUGAUAGUCAUGUAAGUAUUACUCACCCAGCUGUGAGCUGACGGUGGGGUAGAGAAGCUCUGAAGAUAGUAUGGAAGUGGCAGUCCUGUUGAAAUUCGAGGACUCAGAACGUUGACAGAAACUGAACAGCAUCCUGUUUUGUAAGUGCUCAGUGUGUGGAAUGAACUGCCAGAGGAAGUGAAGGAUGUGGGUGGUUACGAUGUUUGAAAAACAUUCAGGUGGAACAUAAGAACAAAAUGACAACAACUGACACAAAAAAACAGCACGACCUUAUCACCACUGGAUGAAAAUCCUACAACUCCUUACCAAUUUGCAACAUGGGAGCUACAUCACCACGUGGAUUGCAGCAGUUCAAGAAAGU